rfam:Populus trichocarpa scaffold_4_contig_371, whole genome shotgun sequence.
ACUAGAACUCGAGAUAUGGGCUGAACACUGAACAAUGUCUUGGCUGCAGGACAGAUUCCAACUUAUCUAUUGUUGCUACAAUUUGAACUUGAAAAAGAUCUUUUUGAAUCCUGGACUCUUCAUGAAAGUUUUAGGCCUAUGUCUUAGCUUAGCUUUCUAUC